UGCUCUCACUCCCACAGCUGAUCUGAGCACACGCUUUCCAUCUGUCAAAACCACUGAAGACACAGCCAAUACGUGGUGGCCAAGCCAGUACUCCGCAAGCAGUGCUCUAAGCUACUGGUACCAUGUAAGGCAGCGCUGGGGGCUGACGAAGCACGCCUCCACCAUUCCAGGCUGUGAACUCAAAGCUACCAAGAAACUGGAGUUCACAGGAUGUGAUGGAAGGCAAAAGGCUGGCAUGUUCCAACAGCAAAGGGAAAUAACUCCAAGGGGAAAUUGACUGUGAAGCCUUAAGGAGAGCCCUCUCAAGAUGUCGGGGGAAAGGCAAGAAAGAAAUAUAAUCAGGUGCUCACAGUGGGGAACAUGAAGUGCUGGCAGAGAAGCAGGGGCUGCAACUGAGCAUGUACACUGAGGAAUGCUGCUAAUGCUGAGGGCAGGAGAAGCCUGGGAGGGAUCUGCUGUCCAGUGUGCAGGGUGCUGGAGCUUGCCAAAGAGGAACAAGGUAUCCAUUUAACAGAAGGUGCCAGGUGCUUCCCCAUGGGCAAACAACUAUGGUCUCCAGCUCACAGGGCACACAGCACUCUGGGACAUCGUGUGGGGGUAGAUUAUAACAGACUGAACAUGGCGAGGAUCCAGCUGAAAGAAAAUGAAGGUUUCUUUUGUACAGACUGUUCCCAAGCAGGGGACUGUUGGUGGAUUCAAAAGCGAAUGGUGAGCCAGGUGUGGUGGUUCCAGCAGAAGCAUCUUGGAUUUGAGGCUAGCUGGGACUACAUUAAAAAUGGAGGAGAAGGGGGAGAUGAGAAGAAACGCUGGAGAAGGUUCCAUGGGUAAAGGCGCUAG